rnacentral:lncRNA from 1 species
CACUAUCAGAUGCGGUCCGGUAAGAUGCUGGGGUUCAUUGUGAGCGGGAAAGAGGAAUCGAGGUUGAUCCUGCUUUAAGAAAAAAAAAAAAUAAUAAUAAGAGAAAUGCCUGAACCGAGAAUAAAGAAAGAGGUUCGUGGUCUAUUAGGUAGAUUGAACUACCUGUCAUGGUUCACAUCUCAUCUAACAGCCACGGGUGAACCUAUAUUC